AAGAGGAAGGUCCUGUUACUGGAGACAUUUUGCCAAGUGCUUCGGCAUCCUGGAAAUUUGCUCUGCCUAUUUGAUGUCAUCAUCUGGUUCCCAAGUGGUGGCAGUUUUCUUCAGGAGAUAUUUGGUUUAAAAUAUACCCUAUCAAACUUUGGUCUCCAUGUAUGCUGACAGAGAUCAUUGAAGAGGUUAGAAGUGAAAAUCCAAAGACCAAGUAUGAGAAAAACAAUAAACACAUAAAUCAGAGUGACACUACGUGAUGUCCUAUGGCGGACAAAAAGCCCAUGCUAAUUGCAGAGGAGAGCUUUAAAUGUGAGCAUAACUUUUUAAAUGUGAAAAUUCAGACACAGACAUAUGUGUACAGAGCAAUGCAACUCUGAGCUCAUGCUAAAACAUCCCUGAUGGCCUUGGGAUAGUUCUGGAGACGAGGGCAGAAAAAGUGCAUUGGAUGGUAUGGGUUUAUUACUUAGUAGCAUAUUAUUCACUGGCUGGCCCAUAUCUUGAAAUUUUAUGGACUCAUGGUGAUCAGAAUAAAAGAGAUGAAAAAUGGGAUUCAAGUCUCCUUUGAGAGUUGUCUAGAGGCGAUGGUUAUAAAAAUAAAGGAGCUGGAAGGAAACUUCUUUGCCAGCGUCUCUCUCCAGAUUUUCUGUCUACCUGCCUGAUGCUCCAACGGUAUUUGCUUAUUGGCUUAAAAAAAUAGUAGAGAAGUUGUGGAAGAAGUUAGUUCAUCCAAAGCGUUUUAGGUCGAUGUGUGUUUGGAGAAGUCAGUGGAAGAACGUACUGUCGACAGUUGAAGAAAACUGGGAGCCAAGCAUCCGACUGGCUCCUGGGGUCGGGACAGGAGCUCCGGCUUCCUGUGAGGCCUGUGGUGCCAGCUCCUAGCGCGCUCCGCGUACGGGCACCUGAAUCAUCCCGAUAUCUCUUGUCCUGACUCCAGAAGUCAUGCUGUAAGGCUCACCAUGUAGACAGUGUCACUGUGGCUGUUUCCAUUUUGCUUUCACUGCAGCCCUUUUCUGUUUUUAAUUUUGUGGCUGGCAAAGCUUGAAAAGACCGUGAGUCAGGCCAACCAUUCUUUCCCCUCCAGAUAGAAGCCUUAGUGUGCGGCCAAGGCUCUGAGCACCGUUUGUGCUCAUGAACCUUAGCUGCUGGAAGCUUUUCUGUGGGGACAGGGAACAUGUGGGGGAAGUACUUAGUCCCGUGGUUCCCAAAGUGUGGUCCCCAGACCAGCUCGGCAGCAGCAUCCCCUGGACAUUUGUUAGGAAUGCCAGCUAUCCUUCCCCACUCCAGACGGACUGAAUCAGAAA